GAGCCUCCUCUGGACUUCCUCCUCUUCCUUAUACAGUGCCGGUCCACAGCCAAUCAGAGACGAGCACCGUGACAUCACAGCGGGCAGGUCAGAAGUUCAUGUUCAGCCACCGACACACACAGGUGAGUUUUAAUGAGACAGAGUGCAGCUCGCUGUCCAACAUCUGGUUGUGACUGUGUCAUGGUGCAGGACUUUGUGCUGCAGUGGAAAACGAGGCCACAGUGAGAAAAAACAACAGACAGAAAGUGAGCUGAGACGGUUGAAGUUGUGCAGAAGUUGAAUCUGUUGUGCAGCAGCUGUCUGCCUUCCUGUAUAUCCAGUGUGUUAUCUGGAGCUGCAGGGAGGGAGGGGCGGCUCUGCACUCAAACCCACGUGACUUAAAGGAAAGCAGCUGCUGGAGCACAUGCUUUACAAGAACCAGCAGAACGGGCAGAGCCGGAGAACGGGCUCGCUGUGAUGAAUGCGUCUGCAGCAACAGCAAAACACUUGAACCAACGAGGGCAAAAAGCUGACGGUACCAGAACAAACAGUCAUCUUACAGGUGAAACUGGCAGCUUCAAGAACUCAUCUUAAAGCUCCAAGUUCUUCUUGGUAAUAAAUCCCGGUUCUGAAAAGCUGGUUGAACCGUCGUGAACUUUGAACAAGUGCUGCAGCACUGAACCCACAAAUGAUGAAAACACAAAGAACACAUCAGCUAAAAGUCUCUUUUGCCUGGUUCUGUCUGAUGUUGCACUUUGUUUAGUCUGUGGUUCAUUUUGCAUGUUUUGCUUGUCUUUGCUCCUUUUGUUUCUAAUCUCAUCGAGCAUCUAAUUUGACUUGUUUUGUGAUUCAAUAUUCAAGAUCUUUCUUUGUCACAAACCCAAUGAAACACAAUCUAACCCACAGUGAAAUGUUUUGCGCACUUGUUCCAGACUGAAACAAGAAUAUUGUGAAAGAAUAAUGAAUAAAACACACAAAUAUAUAAAG